rnacentral:tRNA from 1 species
GGAGGAAUAUCUCAUGGCAGAGCUCUUGCCUAGCAUGCAAGAGGCUCUGGGUUCAAUUCUCAGUACCACAG